rnacentral:misc_RNA from 1 species
GUCCGAAAGAUGGGCACUAGGAUCACUUAUUAUGACAUUCAACUUAGAAAGAGCCUCUCUAACAAGUGGUUUAAACACAGAUCCACCAAACUCUGCACAAACACCCCAACCCCAUAAACAGCUGCCUGACGAACAUCUGGAUUUUCAUCAUUGCAGGCCUCCAAAAGGAAAGGAACAUAAGUAUCAUAAUAUUUAAUAGCUGCUUCCCGGCAUGUAUUUAAGAGCUGCUUCCUGGCACUGCUCCACAACAUCAUCAAAUAUACAAAUGGCAAUUCUCCUCUCUUCUGCUGU